AUGCUAAUACCGCAUAUACCCUGAGGGGGAAGAUUUAUCGCUUUAAGAUUGGCCCAUGGCAGAUUAGGUAGUUGGUGGUGUAAAGGCCUACCAAGCCGACGAUCUGUAGCUGGUCUGAGAGGACGAUCAGCCACAUUGGGACUGAGACACGGCCCAGACUCCUACGGGAGGCAGCAGUGAGGAAUAUUGGGCAAUGGGGGCAACCCUGACCCAGCCAUGCCGCGUGAGUGAAGAAGGUUUUCGAAUUGUAAAGCUCUUUCGGAUGUGACGAUGAUGACGGUAGCAUCUAAAGAAGCCCCGGCAAACUUCGUGCCAGCAGCCGCGGUAAUACGAAGGGGGCGAGCGUUGUUCGGAAUUACUGGGCGUAAAGGGUGUGUAGGUGGACGUGUAAGAUAGCGGUGAAAUGCCGGAGCUCAACUUCGGAAUUGCCAUUAUAACUAUGCGUCUAGAAUUAUAGAGAGGAUAGCGGAAUACCCAGUGUAGAGGUGAAAUUCGUAGAUAUUGGGUAGAACACCAGUGGCGAAGGCGGCUAUCUGGCUAUAUAUUGACACUGAGGCACGAAAGCAUGGGGAUCAAACAGGAUUAGAUACCCUGGUAGUCCAUGCCGUAAACGAUGAAUGCUGGUUGUCGGACGAAUGUUCGGUGACGAAGUUAACGCGAUAAGCAUUCCGCCUGGGGAG
rnacentral:rRNA from 1 species